rnacentral:lncRNA from 1 species
UUAAACUGCUCCUAGACGCAAAUUGUGUUUAGACGCAAUCUGCGUUUAGACGCAAUCUGCGUUUAGACGCAAUCUGCGCUUAGACGCAAUCUGCGCUAAGACGCAAACUGCGCUUAGAUGCAAUCUGAGUUUAGACGCAAUCUGCAUUUAGACGCAAACUGCGUUUAGACGCUAACUGUGUUUAAACAUAAACUGCACUUAAUCAUAAGUAAUC